rnacentral:rRNA from 1 species
AACGAACGCUGGCGGCAUGCCUAACACAUGCAAGUCGAACGAGACCUUCGGUUCUAGUGGCGCACGGGUGCGUAACGCGUGGGAACCUGCCCUUAGGCUCGGAAUAACUCCCCGAAAGGGGUGCUAAUACCUGAUAAUGUCUUCGGACCAAAGUUUUAUCGCCUUUGUAUGGGCCCGCGUUGGUGUAGCUAGUUGGUAGGGUAAAAGCCUACUCAGGCGACAGUCCAUAGCUGGUCUGAAAGGAUGAUCAGCCACAUUGGGUCUGAGACACGGCCCCGACGCCGACGGGAGUGGGGAGUAGGGAAUAUUGGACAGUAGGCGGAUGCCGGAUCCAGCAGUGCCGGAUGAGGGAUGUAGGCUUGUGGAUUGUAUAGAACUGUUACCCGGGAUGAUAGUGACAGUACCAGUAGAAUAAGCUCCGGCUAACUCCGUG